UCGAUCUCAAAUCAAGUAAGACUACCCGCUGAACUUAAGCAAUAU
rnacentral:rRNA from 1 species